rnacentral:rRNA from 1 species
UUGAACGCUGGCGGCAGGCCUAACCCAUGCAAGUCGAACGGUAACAGGAAACAGCUUGCUGUUUCGCUGACGAGUGGCGGACGGGUGAGUAAUGUCUGGGAAACUGCCUGAUGGAGGGGGAUAACUACUGGAAACGGUAGCUAAUACCGCAUAACGUCGCAAGACCAAAGAGGGGGACCCUCGGGCCUCUUGCCAUCGGAUGUGCCCAGAUGGGAUUAGCUUGUUGGUGGGGUAACGGCUCACCAAGGCGACGAUCCCUAGCUGGUCUGAGAGGAUGACCAGCCACACUGGAACUGAGACACGGUCCAGACUCCUACGGGAGGCAGCAGUGGGGAAUAUUGCACAAUGGGCGCAAGCCUGAUGCAGCCAUGCCGCGUGUAUGAAGAAGGCCUUCGGGUUGUAAAGUACUUUCAGCGGGGAGGAAGGGAGUAAAGUUAAUACCUUUGCUCAUUGACGUUACCCGCAGAAGAAGCACCGGCUAACUCCGUG